rnacentral:rRNA from 1 species
AAGCUGGCGGUAGGCCUAACACAUGCAAGUCGAACGGCAGCACAGGAGAGCUUGCUCUCUGGGUGGCGAGUGGCGGACGGGUGAGGAAUACAUCGGAAUCUACUUUUUCGUGGGGGAUAACGUAGGGAAACUUACGCUAAUACCGCAUACGACCUACGGGUGAAAGCAGGGGAUCUUCGGACCUUGCGCGAUUGAAUGAGCCGAUGUCGGAUUAGCUAGUUGGCGGGGUAAAGGCCCACCAAGGCGACGAUCCGUAGCUGGUCUGAGAGGAUGAUCAGCCACACUGGAACUGAGACACGGUCCAGACUCCUACGGGAGGCAGCAGUGGGGAAUAUUGGACAAUGGGCGCAAGCCUGAUCCAGCCAUACCGCGUGGGGUGAAGAAGGCCUUCCGGGUUGUAAAGCCCUUUUGUUGGGAAAGAAAUCCAGCUGGCUAAUCCCGGUUGGGAUGACGGUACCCAAAGAAUAACACCGGCUAAC